UACGUAGGGUGCAAGCGUUAAUCGGAAUUACUGGGCGUAAAGCGUGCGCAGGCGGUUUUGUAAGACCGAUGUGAAAUCCCCGGGCUCAACCUGGGAACUGCAUUGGUGACUGCAAGGCUUGAGUGUGUCAGAGGGAGGUGGAAUUCCGCGUGUAGCAGUGAAAUGCGUAGAUAUGCGGAGGAACACCGAUGGCGAAGGCGGCACUCUGGGCCAGUACUGACACUGAGGAGCGAAAGCGUGGGGAGCGAACAGG
rnacentral:rRNA from 1 species